rnacentral:misc_RNA from 1 species
AUGAAUUAAGAACCAGGGCGCGUAACAGCUGCCCGUAUCACCGGCGUAACAGCAUGGUGAUAGUUCUAUCAUAUCCAUAACACCUGUGCACUGUUGGAUGCUUGCAUCCACUUUUAAACUAAACAUUAUUGUAACAAAUGUAGUCUUAUUAUAACAUAAUA